rnacentral:rRNA from 1 species
AGGCAACGCCUGCCCAGUGAACAAUUAAACGGCCGCGGUACCCUAACCGUGCAAAGGUAGCGAAAUCAUUUGUCUAUUAAUUGUAGACCUGUAUGAAAGGCAUAAUGAGGGCCUAACUGUCUCUUAUAAUAAAUCAAUUAAACUGAUCUCCUAGUACAAAAGCUAGAAUACCUACAUAAGACCAGAAGACCCUGUGAAGCUUUAACUAACCUAUUAAAUCUAAUAAUAACUACUUUCGGUUGGGGCGACCUUGGAAAAAAAAGAAACUUCCAAACUANUGACUAAAACUCACAAAANNNGGCCAACAAGCCNAACAANCGACCCAGCACAGCUGAUAAUUGAACCAAGUUACUCCAGGGAUAACAGCGCUAUCUUCUUCAAGAGCCCAUAUCAAAAAGAAGGUUUACGACCUCGAUGUUGGAUCAGGACAUCCUAAUGGUGCAGCAGCUAUUAAG